GAAUUCCAAUUCAACUACGUUUGAAAAGAAAUGUUUGAUUAACUGGGUAGCCAAGAACAUUAGAUUCGAUACAACUUUAAAAGUUCUUACCAUUAAGACCAGAACAUCACAACCUUUUUAAAGAAGUGCUUACUCCACUGAGACGCCUCAUUCAACCCUGAAGUCUAGGGAGUGCUCCUGGAGAUUCUAAAAAGACAUGGAGAACACAAUCAAAGAAUGGCUAAGGUAUGCCAAGGACAGGGAUGGGGGAGGAAGAAACGGAAAGAGAAGAAAAGAAGGGGGAGGAGGAGACUCUGGAAGAGGAAAUGGAGACUUAGGAGAGAGAUCAGAUGGAAAGUGGCAAUGCGUAACUUUUUUUCUGUGAUAUAGUGUGAUAUACCUGUAGUUCUACCCUUUUUCGUGUCUGUUUGUCGGUUAUAAACACGAUGCAGAUGCCAGAAACAUUUUUUUGUGUAAGUAAACAAAAUAACGGGAUUCAUUUUAGUAUUAUUUUAAGAACAGGAGGGCUUUGUUUAUUUGUUAGACGUACUUAUUGAUACCUGUAAUUUACUGAACUUGUGCAUAAUUUACAUUAGAGAGGGAGUAUACAGUCAUGUAACCCUACAUAUAUCGCUUAAAGUGAGCAUCAACUUUUAAUUCUUUAUUAAUGUUUUCUUCAUGCACAGAGCAAUAAAAUUAUAGUAUGUUAAAAUUAAAUUUUAUAUUUUGAUUUCUUUUUCCUCAGUUUUUUAAUUAAUUUAGAGCUACUUACAAUGCAAUACUUGUUGAUGGCAAUUCUAUGCGAAUAUUGAGAAUAUGUAUUAAAAUAAUUAAUCUAGCAUAUAUAGCAUAUAUAGAUAGUAUUUAUAAAGGGCUUUGACCAUUAAACUGUACUACAAAACUAGUAUAACCUUAUUGUAUAUAUUUGUUUGUCAAUUUUGAGGACAAAUGGCCAACCAGUGAAGAGCAAAUGAGUUGUCAUGAUGGAGAGCCAAUAAGAUACAAACCAAAGUUGGCCCAAAAAUGAUGUUUUCCUAAUAUUGAAAGAAUAAGUGGCCAAACAAUGGCUCAAUGAUAUCUGUUCGUUGGUCAAACAAUAAGCCAACAAGUUGGUCUGAUUAAGGGCCGAUGAGCAAAAUACCGAUGGCCCAACAUUAAUUGCUUACAAUGGCCCAACUGUACAAAAUUGACGUUUGCCCAACAUUGAAAAAAUACAUUGGCCCAACAGUGGCCCAAUAUUGACUGUUACAUUGGUCCAACAAUGAGCCAAUAAGUUGGUUGAUUAAGGGCCGAUGAGCAAAUUACCGUUGGCCCAACAUUAGUUGCUUACAAUGGCCCAAUUGUACAAAAAUGACGUUUGCCCAAUAUUAAAAUAAUACAU